rnacentral:rRNA from 1 species
CAAUAGCGUAUAUUUAAGUUGCUGCAGUUAAAAAGCUCGUAGUUGGAUUUCGGGUGGGAAUGGCCGGUCCGCCGUUUCGGUGUGCACUUGCUACGCCCACCUUGCUGCCGGGGACGUGCUCUUGAGUUCACGCUCGGGACACGGAGUCGGCGAGGUUACUUUGAGUAAAUUAGAGUGUUCAAAGCAGGCCUACGCUCCGAAUACAUUAGCAUGGAAUAACACGAUAGGACUCUGGCCUAUCUUGUUGGUCUGUAGGACCGGAGUAAUGAUUAAGGGGGACAGUCGGGGGCAUUCGUAUUUCAUUGUCAGAGGUGAAAUUCUUGGAUUUAUGAAAGACGAACUACUGCGAAAGCAUUUGCCAAGGAUGUUUUCAUUAA